CAAGCUAAAUCAUAGAAUCUUGAGUAAAAGAGAAGGAAAUUAAGGACAACAGUAUUAGUAUAUAGGUAAUCACUACAAAAAAAAUAUGGAACAUUUUUCUUUUAUUUUGGGGGUGCUGGAGAUUAAACCCACAGCUUCCCACAUGCUGGGCAAGCACUGUUCCACUGAGCCUUGUUAAUUAUAAUUUUAAUAAAUGUCUUAGCCAAUAUAUCAAACAAAAUUACCAAUAAUAGGACAAAUAAUUAUCAUGUGCUUCCUGAUAUCUUGUACUGAGGAAGACACAAUAUCACCUACAUAGAAUUCUUGCCAAAAAAAUAUGUAACCUGUACCCAAUCUUGAGAAAAUAUGAGAUCAAUACAAAUUGAGAUAGUCUACAACAUAACUUUCCUGAAAUAUCAAUGUCAGGAAAAAAGAAAGAGUGGUGGAAGAACUGUUUUAGAUUAAAGGAGACUAAAGAGGUGAAAAUGAAAUGCAGUAUACAUUAGAGUAUUGGGUUAAAUUAAAAAAAAUGUUAAAUUUAUUGACUGUGUUAAUCACAUUACGGUUCUAGACAGGCAUUCAUUCCUAUGGGAUGCCUCCUGAUUUAUUGAGGGGUGAAAUGUCAUGAUGAUAUCUGCAACUUUUGAUGCUCCUUGACAUUGUUUAUAUACAUGCAUAUUCAUAUAUCUCACACAUACAGAGAGGGAGAGAAAAAAUACAAUAAAAUGUUAACAAUUGAUGAGUUUAAGGAAGAUACAUAUGGGUUUCUUGUACUAUUGUCUCACUUUUUGUUUUUUUAAAGUUUGAAAUUUUCUUUAAAAAGUUGGUAGAAGUAAAUAGACAUUCUCCUAAAGAAAAAUAAUUUAUUUAGAAAAUGAACUAGACUCAGGAAAUUUAAGGCAUUUUUCUUUGACAAACUGUUUUAUCUGUUUGUGGCCAGGGGCCAAUCUUUCAAAUCCAAUUCAUAAUGAGGCCCCUGCCCCACCCAGGCCUCAUUCCCAUGACUCCUCUCAGCUCCUUCCCUUCUCCUACACUGAAGAUGUGUUGGUCUCCACUCCUCUUCCUUUAUUCAUUUGGAACAGUACAGUUUAUUUUUCCUUCUGCAAAGGAGCAUGCUCAAGUGCUGACCUGACAGUAACUGCUUUCUGCUGGAGAAGAGGCAGGAGCGCUGAAAGGGGUGCUUUUUGGUCUCUUUGAGUUGGCCUUGAUCAGUUAACAGGCCCCUUUGGUUAUGAAAAGGAACUGGAAAGGGAGAAAAGAAGGGCUUCUUAUGCUGUUUUUUUUGCUGAUGGACCCAGGAUCCCUUUUUUCUCUUCUGAGCAUUGGUCUCUGGCAACAUCACCCUUCUGAUAAGUCCUUUAUGUGCAUGAUGUGGUGUCCUUGAAGUGAUCUGUUAAGGUUCAGGGCAGUUGUGUACAGUAAUAGUCUCCCUUUGUCUCCAUCUCCCUCCCCACAGACAGAAGGACUCCUACCCUGCCUUUUGUACUAACUGGUUGAAUGCCCACAGCCUAGUUUGAAAAGUCUCCUCUCUCCCUUCCAGAUGACCCAGCAGAUGGCUGGGAUGAACUUCUAUGGAGCCAACGGCAUGAUGAACUAUGGCCAGUCAAUGAGCGGUGGAAAUGGACAGGCAGCAAAUCAGACUCUGAGUCCUCAGAUGUGGAAAUAAAAGCAAAACACCUGUAUGGCUGCCACUUUCCUUAGCCUUUGCUCUCCCCCUUCUUUCCUCACCUCUCCUCCCCACCAUCCCUUUUUCCUACCUCUCUCUAUUUGAUUUAGAAAUUGCUCAAUAAGUCAUUUGGGGUUUGGCAUCCUGUCCAACCCAGCCACUUCCCAAACAUGCAGACCUCUCUGUUGCUCUAUGUUGUUCAUGUCCCCUGGCCAUCCUGACUUCCUCUCCAGCCACAGCCCCUAUCCUUUCCUGGCACCAGCACCUUAGAAAUCGUUGGCAGAAGGCACUUGAACCACAGGGAAAAUGUGCACACUUUUCAGUACCUUCCCUCAAGGUUGAACCUCCUGUCAGACCCUUAGAAAGGUCUGUGGCAUUGUGCAUUAGGCAAAGGGGAGGGUGUAGAGAUUCUUCUAUAUGUGUUAAUAAGCUAUUUCUAAGUGUUUAAAGUUUUGGUUAAAGAGAGGUAUCAUGUUCCCAUGCUUUAUGGGAAUGAAAAAAGUCCUGCAAUCAAAUCAAAUACUCCUUGGGUCUUGGAUCAGGUUGACCCUAGCCUUGGGGUGAGGCAAGCCCCUUCCUGUGUGGAUGAGCAAAAAUAUUACUCCACUUUGCCCUGAGUUGCUUUCUGGAUCUAGGGCUUCAGGACUCGCUGCUUCAGUCAGCCUUUAUUAGCACCAAAGACUUUAUGAAGGUCCCAUACAGAUGCACAUCCCUGCUGCCUCCUCCCUGCCAUCAGAGGAUCCGGCUCCAUGGCUGGAGGACCAGCCCCAGUGUGGGGAUGCAGAGCUUAAUCUGUGCACUGCUUAUGUGUAUGUACAUGUGGAUAUCGCCUCCCACCCUCUCCCUAACUGCUCUGGGCAUUUUUGUUUUUGUUUGUUAGUUUUAGGUUUAUAACAGAGAGGAGUUAAUUUAUCAACAGUCUAAAACUGUUGCCAGUUUUUCUUAUAUUUAAAAAAAAAUUACCAUCUCAUCGAUAGCUCCCUAUCUUCUUUCCCUUCUCCCAUCUGCCAGUCACUCUUCAUACCCGCGUAUCCAGGUAUUUUAUUUGCCCACCUGUUUCCCAGUGUGUGAGGCAGAGAGCCUGGACAGCUUUCCUCUCAGCCAUUGUUCACCCCACUUGAAAAUUCAAACAAAAAAACUUUGCUUAAAGGAUUUCAUGUGUGGGAACCACAAUGCCUGUUUGCCUUUCUCCUGUGUAUGUGUAAAUUCCUUAAUAAAUAUUGCAGGGAAGGACUGUUCGCUUGUUACUGUGUGUUACUCUUGGAGGUGGGUGAGGUCCACAUAGGUUUUCUACUUUCCAGGAGCAGUUCCUUCCUUCACUUCUUGUAUUUUAAAGAAUUUUGUACUUACCCAGCUUUGAGCGGUCAGAAAGGGGCUCUCUCUCCAGUGAAUGCAAAGAAUUGUGAACAAGGGUCACAGAACAUCAGAACUAGGAGCAUGUUUCCCCCCACAGAUAGAGAAGCUGAGUCCCAGGGAGAGGAAGUAGUUGGUCAGGGGUCUGCCAAAGAACCGCUAGAGAGCCUGCUGAAGAAUCUGGCUUUCCAGCCCCUUGUUCUUUCCCUAUGCCUGGGUGAUUAAAUCACAAGUUGGAAUUCCUCCCUGCCAAGGAAGCAGUAGCCUUGCCUGGUAAAGGCAAUUCAGCCCUCUCUAAACUGUCAGAACAAGGAGGGGCUGGACUUCUGAACCAGUGGCAGGAAUUAGAGACAAAACACUCAUCCUGUGGCACACAACUGUAAUCCAAGCAGCUCAGGAGGCUAAGGCAGGAAGAUUGAGAGUUCAAAGCCAAUCUCAGCAAUUUAGUGAGGCCCUAAGCAACUUAGCAAGACCCUGUCUCAAAAUAAAAACUAAAAAGGGC
rnacentral:lncRNA from 1 species